AGAGUUUGAUCCUGGCUCAGAUUGAACGCUGGCGGCGUGCUUAACACAUGCAAGUCGAGCGGAACNNGGUGAAUACAUGCUGACGAGCGGCGAACGGGUGAGUAAUGCUUCGGAAUCUACCCAAUGGUGGGGAAUAACCAGCCGAAAGGUUGGCUAAUACCGCAUACGUCCUACGNNAGAAAGCGGGGAUCGUAAGACCUUGCGCCAAUGGAUGAGCCGAAGUCGGAUUAGCUAGUUGGUAGGGUAACGGCCUACCAAGGCGACGAUCCGUAGCUGGUCUGAGAGGACGACCAGCCACACUGGGACUGAGACACGGCCCAGACUCCUACGGAGGCAGCAGUGGGGAAUAUUGGACAAUGGGGGAAACCCUGAUCCAGCGACGCCGCGUGUGUGAAGAAGGCCUGCGGGUUGUAAAGCACUUUUGUGGGGAUAAAUCACGGCUAAUACCCGUGGAUUUUGACCUAACCCACAGAAAAAGCACCGGCUAACUCUGUGCCAGCAGCCGCGNNAAUACAGAGGGUGCGCGUUAAUCGGAAUUACUGGGCGUAAAGCNNGCGUAGACGGUUACAUAAGUCAGUGAACCCCGGGCUCNNCCUGGGAAUGCAUUNNAGACUGCGUAGCUAGGGUGCGGAAGAGGGAAGCGGAAUUUCCGGUGUAGCGGUGAAAUGCGUAGAUAUCGGAAGGAACACCAGUGGCGAAAGCGGCUUCCUGGUCCAGCACCGACGUUCAGGCACGAAAGCNNGGGGAGCAAACAGGAUUAGAUACCCUAGUAGUCC
rnacentral:rRNA from 1 species